rnacentral:rRNA from 1 species
UACGGAGGGGGCUAGCGUUGUUCGGAAUUACUGGGCGUAAAGCGCACGUAGGCGGCUUUGUAAGUUAGAGGUGAAAGCCCGGGGCUCAACUCCGGAAUUGCCUUUAAGACUGCAUCGCUAGAAUUGUGGAGAGGUAAGUGGAAUUCCGAGUGUAGAGGUGAAUUUCGUAGAUAUUCGGAAGAACACCAGUGGCGAAGGCGACUUACUGGACACAUAUUGACGCUGAGGUGCGAAAGCGUGGGGAGCAAACAGG